GAUGAACGCUGGCGGCGUGCUUAACACAUGCAAGUCGAACGGACUUUUAAUGAAACCUAGUGAUUUAAAAGUUAGUGGCGGACGGGUGAGUAACGCGUGGGUAACCUGCCAUAUACAGGGGGAUAACACUUAGAAAUAGGUGCUAAUACCGCAUAAGCGCACAGUAUCGCAUGAUACAGUGUGAAAAACUCCGGUGGUAUAUGAUGGACCCGCGUCUGAUUAGCUAGUUGGUGAGGUAACGGCCCACCAAGGCGACGAUCAGUAGCCGGCCUGAGAGGGUGAACGGCCACAUUGGGACUGAGACACGGCCCAA
rnacentral:rRNA from 1 species